UUCCACUGGACCAGAUUGCUCCAAUCAAGCCCUGUCAAACAUGACCUCGAACACUUUGUUUCAAGCUGAAAAACAACAAGAACAGGACAAACAUAAGGAUACUACACCCACCAUCUGUGGUUCAGCUGGAGCUAACCAGAGCUAGCUAUGUGUCCCAAGCCCAUUGGGGAGAUGCAUCUCUCUUGCUUUGCUGUGUGCAGCUCCAUCCAUGAAUCAUGUAGUUCAGGGACGAGGAAUCCUCCUUUCCCAAUGUGACUGGCACAAAAAACAGCACAUCCAUCUGCAGAGACCCUUAGCAGACUAUUAACUUAGCCAGGCAUUACUAGUACCUGUGAAACUGGGAUGGCAAAAUCUCUGACUGGUGCUUCAAGCUUUGUAUGCAAAGUUGUUUGCUCUGGGGCUGGAGUGUACCUCACCUGUUGGACUGGCCUUCACACAUGACUCAGGAGCAGAAUGAAUCACAGCUCGUAGCAUACUCAGAGCAAGAGCACAGGGAACCUUGUAUUACACCACGGUGCUCAGAGGAGAUGUCUUCGGAUGACAGGGCUUAAAGAAGAAAUGUAGCUUCCUCCCUGCUGGGAACUGCAUGUUUCUGGAAUCUCCACAUUGAAGAAAUACUGUGAAGGCGUGAUCCAUCCCACCUGCAUAUUCAAAUAUGAAGUUCUUCUGGAUAAUUCCAUUUUUCCUGCUGCAAGCUGAGGCAGAGCACAAGUACCUCCCAACCACCCUGGCCAGCACACACGUGGACGAGCACACAGCAGGCAAUGUUACCCUUCCACUGGGCUUGGAACCGGAACAGCUGGAGGAGCUGCUCUGGUUCUUCCGCAGAGAAGACCCCUCAACAUGGAAUUACUCUGUUCUUGCGCUUUCCCUUGCGACCAUGAUUUUGGGUCUUGUUCUUCUGACCAUUAACAUUGUGCGAAACAGGAAAAGGAAGACUCUCGUAAACGGAGAAGCAUCAGAAACCACACAGGAGGCGGACCUGGAUGCCAAGCAAGCCCUGGUGCCUGUGCAGGAAUACAGCCCGGCCAAGCCACUAAAGCAGGAGCCAGGGCCCCAGGACCAGAGACCAGGGGAUGUGACAGUGCAGUGGAAGGACGGGACUGUCACAUCCCUGUACACAGAGAUGUCUGAGGAGGCCAUAUAGUGGCAGCUGAAGUCAGCCCAUUUAGGCCUUAAGGAAGGCAUUGAAAUCUCAGUUCAUAGAGGUGCAAGUUUAAAAAUGCAGUUUUGCCUGGGGAAAGAAAAGGGUGAAACAAGAAAGCAGCAGAGUUGCACCUGCAGGAGGGGCCCUGAGCUCAGCUGCUGCCUGGCUGGUGUUCCCUCACUGCUCUCGGCUGCUUCCAGCCUUCCCUCCAGUGCCAGCUUCGUCUCCUCCCUCAGGUGCUGCAAACAGGUGGGAGCUGAGCCAGGAGAGGAAGUGGGAAGCUUGGCCUGCUGUCAGCCAGGGAAAGCACCCUCACUUCCCAUCAGGAAAACAGCAAUACUGAAGCUGAGGCAUUUUUAUUCUUUUCAGAAUCUUCUUUAUUAAAAUACUUUCCAAAGUGGUUGAUCAAACUGCCAUAUUGAAUCUGUCAGUAAGGUCAUAUAUAUAUUUAUAUGGUUAUAUGUACAAAUAUACACAUGGAUAUUUUACUCCAUAAAGUAACUGCAACUCCAGGGAGAAGUAGAACAUUUAACCUGAUAGAGCACCUGAAACCAAACACCCAGCCCUUGGCCCUGGCUCAGGCACAGGUAGAGCCUGAUCUGCUCCAGAAUUCUCUUUCUGUUCUUCAUUGGGCACAUGUAGAAGCCAUGAAAUAAUUUAGGACAUUAUUGAAAAUAUGUAUUGAAAAUGCGUCAGUCUUUUAGACAAAGGCUUUUCAGACCAUGUCCUUGUCAGCAAAGCAUCUCCUUGCAAAGCCUUUGGAAAGGGAUGCUGUAGUGUAAAAAGUUAAUUAAAAAAGCAGCAAUUUUGGUGUGACUUAGCUUGAUGUUUGGGUAUAAUUUUCAGGCCACCUGAGGCCUUUAAGCAGCUGAAACAGUAUCUGCACCUUUUUAUUUGGAUUUUAAAAAAAUAAAAGUUUCUCCUACUUAUUGCUUAUUUGGGGA
rnacentral:lncRNA from 1 species